GCCCUGGUCGUAUAGUGGCCCAGUAUGCCAGCCUGUCACGCUGGUGACGCGGGUUCGAAUCCCGCCCAGGGCG
rnacentral:tRNA from 1 species